UAUUGCACAAUGGGGGAAACCCUGAUGCAGCAACGCCGCGUGCGUGAAGAAGUAUUUCGGUAUGUAAAGCUCUAUCAGCAGGGAAGAGAAUAACGGUACCUGACUAAGAAGUCCCGGCUAACUCCGUGCCAGCAGCCGCGGCAAUACGUAGGGGGCGAGCGUUAUCCGGACUUACUGGGUGUAAAGGGAGCGUAGACGGUUCUGCAAGUCUGAAGUGAAAGCCCGUGGCUUAACCGCGGAACGGCUUUGGAAACUGUGGAACUGGAGUGCUGGAGAGGCAAGCGGAAUUCCUAGUGUAGCGGUGAAAUGCGUAGAUAUUAGGAGGAACACCAGUGGCGAAGGCAGCUUGCUGGACAGUAACUGACGUUGAGGCUCGAAAGCGUGGGGAGCAAACAGG
rnacentral:rRNA from 1 species